GAACGCUGGCGGCGUGCCUAAUACAUGCAAGUCGAGCGAACAGAUGAGGAGCUUGCUCCUCUGACGUUAGCGGCGGACGGGUGAGUAACACGUGGAUAACCUACCUAUAAGACUGGGAUAACUUCGGGAAACCGGAGCUAAUACCGGAUAAUAUAUUGAACCGCAUGGUUCAAUAGUGAAAGACGGUUUUGCUGUCACUUAUAGAUGGAUCCGCGCCGCAUUAGCUAGUUGGUAAGGUAACGGCUUACCAAGGCAACGAUGCGUAGCCGACCUGAGAGGGGGAUCGGCCACACUGGAACUGGAACACGGUACAGACUCCGACGGGAGGCAGCAGUAGGGAAUCUUCGGCAAUGGGCGAAAGCCUGACGGAGCAACGCCGCGUGAAUGAUGAAGGUCUUCGGAUCGUAAAACUCUGUUAUUAGGGAAGAACAAAUGUGUAAGUAACUAUGCACGUCUUGACGGUACCUAAUCAGAAAGCCACGGCUAACUACGUG
rnacentral:rRNA from 1 species